rnacentral:lncRNA from 1 species
UGGACUUAAAAUUGACUUAGGAGAAAACCAGUAAACCCUACACUAUUAUUUUCUGAAAAGUUACCAGAUUUAGCUCUAAGAGCUGUUUUUAUUCUGUAUCAUCGCUGUUAGUGCGAGGUGGAUACUUAGAUUAGUGUAGGUUGAGGUUACGCUCGUGCUGGGAUGCCGAGUUCGUUGUAUAAUAGUGUGUAGAUUGUUUGGUACUAUCGGGUGCCGUCGCGGUUGACGGUGGACCCAGAUUUCUGUAUCUUG